rnacentral:rRNA from 1 species
UACGGGGGGGGGCAAGCGUUGUUCGGAAUUACUGGGCGUAAAGGGCUCGUAGGCGGCCAACUAAGUCCGACGUGAAAUCCCCAGGCUUAACCUGGGAACUGCGUCGGAUACUGGAUGGCUUGAAUCCGGGAGAGGGAUGCGGAAUUCCAGGUGUAGCGGUGAAAUGCGCAGAUAUCAGGAAGAACACCCGUGGCGAAGGCGGCUCUCUGGGACGGUACUGACGCUGAGACGCGAAAGCGUGGGGAGCGAACAGGG